rnacentral:tRNA from 1 species
GGAGUGAUGCUCGAGUGGCUGAAGAGGCACGCCUGGAAAGCGUGUGUACGCCAAAAGCGUACCGCGAGUUCGAAUCUCGCUCACUCCG